CUACGGGGCGCUCCAGUUAGGCAUAAUCUACAAUGCGCGCAAGCGUGAUAGUUUGAGCCAGAGUGCUUUACAAUAGUAAAGCUUUUGCCAAAUCUAAAAAUUUUGGCGAAUAAGGACUGGGUAAGAGCGAGUGCCAGCCGCCGCGGUAAUACUCGCGGUCCAAGUCGCAGCCAUUUUUAUUGGGUCUAAAACAUCCGUAGCUUGCUUAGUGAGUUUCUUGUGAAAUCCGAUAUCUCAAAUAUUGGUCGGGCAAGAAGUACUGCUAAGCUAGAGACUGGAAGACGUAACGAGUACGUUCGGAGUAUCGGUAAAAUGAGUUAAUCCCGGACGGACUAACAAUAGCGAAGGCACGUUACGAGAACAGUUCUGACAGUAAGGGAUGAAGGCUAGGGGCGCAAAAGGGAUUAGAUACCCUUGUAGUC
rnacentral:rRNA from 1 species